rfam:Myotis lucifugus cont2.43913, whole genome shotgun sequence.
GAGACACCCUUCUGGGGCAAGACUUGCUUCAGUGGGGCUUUGGUGCUCACUGAGUCUUCCCCCUGAAUGUGUCCCU